rnacentral:piRNA from 1 species
UAAGUGGUUCAGUGAUGCCAGAUGGAGGUC